rnacentral:rRNA from 1 species
AACGAACGCUGGCGGCAGGCUUAACACAUGCAAGUCGAGCGCCCCGCAAGGGGAGCGGCAGACGGGUGAGUAACGCGUGGGAAUCUACCUAUCACUACGGAACAACUCCGGGAAACUGGAGCUAAUACCGUAUACGUCCGAGAGGAGAAAGAUUUAUCGGUGAUAGAUGAGCCCGCGUUGGAUUAGCUAGUUGGUGGGGUAAUGGCCUACCAAGGCGACGAUCCAUAGCUGGUCUGAGAGGAUGAUCAGCCACACUGGGAACUGAGACACGGCCCAGACUCCUACGGGAGGCAGCAGUGGGGAAUAUUGGACAAUGGGCGAAAGCCUGAUCCAGCCAUGCCGCGUGAGUGAUGAAGGCCUUAGGGUUGUAAAGCUCUUUCACCGGUGAAGAUAAUGACGGUAACCGGAGAAGAAGCCCCGGCUAACUUCGUGCCAGCAGCCGCGGUAAU